CCGAGCUGCCAUGUCUCAAGGCCAAACCAAACAGUGCUUGGGCCCUUUGGACCCCGACUCUGUUUCUGUCCCUCUCUGCCUUCUCUUGAUCCAGUCCCCGGCCUGCCCGCCCUGUGCCUCAAUCCAGCCUGGGAAGCUGGGCCAUGCAGGGGUCAGCUGAGGGUUGCUUCCAGCAGACUGACUACAAGCCACCCUGGAGAGCAGGCAGAGACACUGUCCCCUGGCUCUCGAGGGCCUCUGAGUGGGACAUUUCCCAAGACGUUCUCAGUCGGAGAAGUGCCUUCCGGGGGCUGUUGGAUCACAGAAGCAUGUUCUCCCUCCCUGCCGUCCUGUCUAGGCAGAGGGAAUUGAUGACCCAGGAGAAUUGAGGGGCCCACCUGGCAUCAUUAUGAAACCUAUUCACAGGGAUUUGGUUGUUGGUUUGUUCUCAUUGAUUUAAAAGGAAAUCAUUAUAAAAUUAGAAUAAAGUUUGUGUGUGGACACAUAC
rnacentral:lncRNA from 1 species